rnacentral:lncRNA from 1 species
AGAUUUCUCAGACUCCUCCGAAAUUGAAGACAGACAAGGAGGUAGAUGUGGUAAUGAAAAAAAAAGAUGAAAAAAUUCUUUCUCUUUUUUAUCUCUUUCCAAAACCCUAGAUCUGAUCUAGAUUUUCUUUCACCCAAGAGGAGGAAGAACUCCUCUAUACUCACACACCCAAGAUGGUAGCCCAACCCCAAUACCUCAUGCCCAAGAGAAAUCGUAACUCAUAGUGAAUUGAUCUCUCAAUAAUCUCUG